AUUGAAAGGGAUGUAGCGCAGCUCGGUAGCGCAUUUGUUUUGGGUACAAAAUGUCACGGGUUCAAAUCCUGUCAUCCCUA
rnacentral:tRNA from 1 species